CUUAGUUCGUGGAGUGAUCUGUCUGCUUAAUUGCGUUUCAAAAUUUAACUUGAGGACCGGGUUUUGGUUUGGCUAGUGGUUCUACGAUGACUGUGAACUGUCAUGUCUUCGGAUGUGCGACUAUUGGUCUAGGAUCACAUGACUUGCCCCUGGGACUCUUUUGAACGCAACGGACGUGAUUGCAACCCCUUGUUGAGAUUAGAGAUAGUCUCGAUAUUCACUGGACAAACUGGCUGCUUUAUGCAGUCUUGUUGAAUGGUGGAUAAACUCGGGGGACUGCUGACUAUAACCAUUUCUCAAAACAGAGGAAGGUUGCGGCAAUAACAGGUCUGUGAUGCCCUCAGAUGUCCCGGGCUGCACACGUGCUACAAUGAGUGGCGCAAUGUGCUAAUGUUUAAGGGAUAAGAGUGUGGUCAGUAGAACGUCGGGAUUUCCCCUGACGUCUCCCCCGCACGAUUAUCAGCCUUCCCUUAACAGGGCGGGCAACCUUUUCAAAAUACUGGUUUGAUGUUAAAGUAUUGAGUCGUUUUUUUUGGAUGGUGGUUUGUUAACCAAUACCAUCCGGCAACUGCUCGCGAGUUUGUGGUUCUGGCGACUCAUGG
rnacentral:rRNA from 1 species